ensembl:lncRNA
UUUUUAAUUAAAUAUCUGAAAUGAAGGAAGACACACAACAUCCCCUAAGUAUUUAACAUUAACCAAUCUUGAUCAGACAGAUUGCGAAAAGAAAUAAAUUAUUUCCAGAUUGGGAUCGAGUCAGAUAAUGAUCAACUCCCUUCCUUUGCCUGACCUGUAAUUCCCCACCCCACCAUCAGCUCUUGCAGCAGCAAGCACUGUCCUUCACAUGUUGCUGAGCUCUGUGAAACAACAGGGGAAAGACUUCCUGUGAGGGACUUGAUCUCCAUUUCCAGGUGCAGUGCCCAGCAGCAAGGAUGUUGGGCACGCCACACCGCGCCUUUCCUAAGCUCCCCCACCCACAGUUGUUGCUGCCAAACUCUGUGUGCUCAUCUGAUACACGAAGGGGAAGCUGGCCUCUCCCUGACCUCUAAAAACACAGACACUGAGUGUAACUGGAGGCUGUACCUGUGUUGUCGGUUAUUGGCUUUAAGUUUGUCAAGUUUUCCAGGACAAGGAAGAGUAGCACCAAAUUACAUGUGGGAUUGUGGCUGCAGUUGCCCCAUGUAACUGUCAAAGGUAUGGCUGGAGAACAUACAUCUUGGUGGGCCGGGCCAGCUACUGCUAUUCCUCUUCAUGUCUUAGCUGGGGUGAAGGCCAAGUGUGUCUGACGGGCAGUCCUAUUCACCAAGAUAUACCCUGUUCUCUGGAGACAGAUGGUCAGCAUGGAGAGACCUGAACAGCUGCAGUCUGCAUGUGCAGAGCACCAUCCUGUGCCAUCACAAGUGGGAUUCACUUCACCUCACUACAGGCAUCCCACCUUCCUCUCCCCCAGCCACUGCCAUGUUUACCAGCUCUGAUCAGGGAGCAGCAGCCACGAGAAGGAGGAGCUUCAUCCAGGAACAUCCAAGGUAUUCCAGUGGCAUAUGUCACUGCUUUGUGGUGGAGCUGGGAAUGCAACUGUGGUAGAAGAACCAUGUUUUAUAGCAUUUAAAAAUAGCUUGAAAGCAACACUAGAGAAUGUGCAAAGACUGAGCCUGUGUGAGAAGGAAGCUGGUUUAAAUGAGUCACUUGGUCCAUCUCUGACUUUUUCACGUUUUCCUAAGCAUUUUUAAAAGGCAAUCUCUGUACUUGGUUUUCCUCCAAAUGCCUACAUAUCCACCUCUUCAUUCAUUCUUCUGAAGUGGAACUUAACAGUUCACAGAAAGUAGCUUUUGCUUUGGAAGAGCGAGAAAAGGUCAUAAUUUAUGUUGUGCUUCAAGAUCUCCCCAUCUUUGGUAUGCACUAAUGAAUGUAAGAGCUAGAGGAGGGUGAGACAGAAAAUAGCUCUAAAAAUCAGACUUGUAGGCAUCCUCCCCAGUAACCUGAAAAAAAGCACAGAGCAACAGGUCCUUUGGUGUAAAGAAUGAAACUGGAUUUAGCUGGGUGGCUGAAGGUACCAGUGCUCUAGGGUGUAUUUCAGAUAAGUUGUGCCUUUAAAAGCAGCUGGAGAGAUAGAAGAGAAUGACUGAAAAAUCAAACACCAGUCAACUCACUCCUUGCUGAGCUCCUAGAGCAGAAGUAAGUUUCAGCAGCUGUGGAAAGACUGACAGUCAAGAAAAGAAGAGAGGCACCAUCAUUCUCUGCCCUGGAAGUGAGAAGAUUCCGGUUGUGCAAGGAUGAAGUGCAUACACAAGUGGGUCCUUUUCCAGCAGAGGUUUUCUUCUUCAAUAACUAAGGCAUGACAUAGUUAGAUACUCUAGUGGCUCCAUCCAGCUUAGCUGUAGACUUGGUUGAAGUCAUCUAGAAUAAGGAAAUGUUUCUCUGUGGAACAUUUUGGGUUUCAUUAUAUUAAUAAAUAUGAAAUUAAUAAUAUUAAUAUUAAUAAC